GACGAACGCUGGCGGCGUGCUUAACACAUGCAAGUCGAGCGGUAAGGCCCUUUCGGGGGUACACGAGCGGCGAACGGGUGAGUAACACGUGGGUGACCUGCCCUCAGCUCUGGGAUAAGCCUGGGAAACUGGGUCUAAUACUGGAUAUGACUCCACGGUGCAUGUCGUGGGGUGGAAAGCCUUGUGCGGCUGAGGAUGGGCCCGCGGCCUAUCAGCUUGUUGGUGGGGGAUGGCCUACCAAGGCGACGACGGGUAGCCGGCCUGAGAGGGCGACCGGCCACACUGGGACUGAGACACGGCCCAGACUCCUACGGGAGGCAGCAGUGGGGAAUUGUUCACAAUGGGCGCAGGCCUGAUGACGCAACGCCGCGUGGAGGACGAAGGUCUUCGGAUUGUAAACUCCUGUUGCUCGGGACGAAAAGCUUCGACCUAAUACGUCGAAGUCUGACGGUACCGGGUGAGGAA
rnacentral:rRNA from 1 species